rnacentral:rRNA from 1 species
ACCAACCGGGAUUGCCUUAGUAACGGCGAGUGAAGCGGCAAAAGCUCAAAUUUGAAAUCUGGUACCUUCGGUGCCCGAGUUGUAAUUUGGAGAGGGCAACUUUGGGGCCGUUCCUUGUCUAUGUUCCUUGGAACAGGACGUCAUAGAGGGUGAGAAUCCCGUGUGGCGAGGAGUGCGGUUCUUUGUAAAGUGCCUUCGAAGAGUCGAGUUGUUUGGGAAUGCAGCUCUAAGUGGGUGGUAAAUUCCAUCUAAAGCUAAAUAUUGGCGAGAGACCGAUAGCGAACAAGUACAGUGAUGGAAAGAUGAAAAGAACUUUGAAAAGAGAGUGAAAAAGUACGUGAAAUUGUUGAAAGGGAAGGGCAUUUGAUCAGACAUGGUGUUUUGUGCCCUCUGCUCCUUGUGGGUAGGGGAAUCUCGCAUUUCACUGGGCCAGCAUCAGUUUUGGUGGCAGGAUAAAUCCAUAGGAAUGUAGCUUGCCUCGGUAAGUAUUAUAGCCUGUGGGAAUACUGCCAGCUGGGACUGUAGGACUGCGAC